rnacentral:rRNA from 1 species
AUGAAGGUCUUAGGAUCGUAAAGCACUUUCGCCAGGGAUGAUAAUGACAGUACCUGGUAAAGAAACCCCGGCUAACUCCGUGCCAGCAGCCGCGGUAAUACGGAGGGGGUUAGCGUUGUUCGGAAUUACUGGGCGUAAAGCGUACGUAGGCGGAUUGGAAAGUUGGGGGUGAAAUCCCAGGGCUCAACCCUGGAACUGCCUCCAAAACUAUCAGUCUAGAGUUCGAGAGAGGUGAGUGGAAUUCCAAGUGUAGAGGUGAAAUUCGUAGAUAUUUGGAGGAACACCAGUGGCGAAGGCGGCUCACUGGCUCGAUACUGACGCUGAGGUACGAAAGUGUGGGGAGCAAACAGGAUUAGAUACCCUGGUAGUCCACACCGUAAACGAUGAAUGCCAGUCGUCGGGCAGUAUACUGUUCGGUGACACACCUAACGGAUUAAGCAUUCCGCCUGGGGAGUACGGUCGCAAGAUUAAAACUCAAAG